AUUACCAAUAUCUGGAAGUGAAACGAGGAGUGGGGUUGGUCUAAUGAUGCUGUUAGACCUGCUGAAUUUUUCCAGCAUUCUAUGAACAAGCCAGUAUUUCUAAAUGGUGGAUGCUUUUUGGCUGGAACUGGUUGCACAGGUGACUUUGACCUGGGAAAGACAUAGGAAUGGCAGAGAGUGGCUCCAAAGAUCUCCAACACAGCACUGGAUGCUUUGGUGCAGGAAAUCAAGAACAUAAGAAUUCAGAGCCCUAUCUCUGUCACAGUUUGGAAUCCAUCACAGAGAUAGACAAUUUCAAUCGAAAGGAUCGUCAGGUGCAAUAUCAUCAACUUUUGGAGAAGGCGAAUUACAUUUAAAAAAGAGACCGUCUCAGGAAUUUUCAGUCUACAUCAGCCUCAACCCUACUAAAAAUUUAAGACCACCAUGGAGAAACUCUGCUUCAACAAUGAACACCAGUGAAGGACUCAUUAACAGUGAACUGUAUUUUUUUGAUAAAAGCAAAGAACUGCGGAUGCUGGAAAUCCACAAAAAUUACCUUUUAUCAACAAAUCUUAAUUUGGUCAAAAAGUAACUUCCUACUGUGUAAUUCUGCAUGCUUGCAUGAGCAUGUGUGUGUAUUGCAAAGGUCGAGACUGGGGUUUACCUCUUUAACAUCUUUAUAUCUUUACC